UAUCCCUAUGUAGUGGGAUUUCAAUCGAACCCACUAACUCUCUCACUACUCCCUCGUUAGCCAUUUGUCAGUCUAUUAGUACCUGACUGUUCACCUUGCUAGCCUAUAAAUAGUCCUUUCUUCAUCCUCCAAGGUUUUUCUGCUUCCAUAAUCGUGCAUUCUUUCUGCACAUUUCUUCAAGCAACUUCUGCAGUGAAUCUGUCACCCCAAAACUCCAAACUCAC
rnacentral:lncRNA from 1 species